rnacentral:rRNA from 1 species
AUUGAACGCUGGCGGCAUGCCUUACACAUGCAAGUCGGACGAGUGGCGAACGGGUGAGUAACGCCUAGGAAAGUGCCGAGUAAUGGGGGAUAACUGUCCGAAAGGACAGCUAAUACCGCAUAUUAUUCGAGCGGCCGAUUUCUGAUUAGCUGGUUGGCGGGGUAAAGGCGCACCAAGGCGACGAGCAGUAGCGGGUCUGAGAGGAUGAUACGCCACACGGGGACGGAGACACGGCGCAGACUCCUACGGGAGGCAGCAGUGGGGAAUUUUGGACAAUGGGCGCAAGCCUGAUGCAGCCAUGCCGCGUGUCUGAAGAAGGCCUUCGGGUGGUGAAGGACUUUUGUCAGGGAAGCGUUACUUGAAGAAUAAGCACCGGCUAACUACGUGCCAGCAGCCGCGGUAAUUC